rnacentral:rRNA from 1 species
GUAAGUCACCUGUGAAACCUCUAGGCUCAACCUAGAGCCUGCAGGCGAAACUGCCGUGCUUGAGGGUGGGAGAGGUGCGUGGAAUUGCCAGUGUAGGGGUAAAACCUUUAGAUAUUGGCAGGAACACCUGUGGCUGAAGCGGCCACUGGACCAUUUCUUGACGCUGAGGCGCGAAAGCGUGGGGAGCGAACGGGAUUAGAUACCCCGGUAGUCCUGGCCCUAAACGAUGUUCACUAGGUGUGGGGAGCGGAAAGCUUUCCGUGCUAAAGCUAACGCAAUAAGUGAACCGCCUGGGGAGUACGCCCGCAAGGGUGAAACUCAAAGGAAUUGACGGGGGCCCGCACAAGCGGUGGAGCGUGUGGUUUAAUUCGAUGCUAAGCGAAGGACCUUACCAAGGUUUGAAGCACAGUGGGACCGGGGUAACGACCACACUUUGUGUGGAGUCAGCACAGGUGGUGCACGGCCGUCGUCAGCUCGUGCCGUGAGGUGUUGGGUUAAGUCCCGCAACGAGCGCAACCCCUGCUCUUAGUUGCCAGCGGUAAGGCCGGGCACUCUAGGAGGACCGCCGCCGACGAGGCGGAGGAAGGUGGGGAUGACGUCAAGUCCUCAUGGCCUUUAUGUCCAGGGCUACACACGUGCUACAAUGGUCGGUACAGAAGGGACCGAGACAGCGAUGUGGAGGAAAUCCUCAAAAGCCCGCCUCAGUUCAGAUUGCAGGCUGCAACCCGCCUGCAUGAAGCCGGAAUCGCUAGUAAUCGCAGAUCAGCCAAGCUGCGGUGGAUACGUUCCCGGGCCUUGUACACACCGCCCGUCAAGCCACCCGAGUUGGUAACACCUGAAGAUGAGAUCCUAACCGAAGGAGGGAGCUUGUUUAGGGUGGGAUUGGCAAGGGGGGCUAAGUCGUAACAAGGUAACC